UCCUAGGCCCCCUCCUCUCAGCUAGAAUCCUACAUCUCCUCCUGACCUGAGCCCUCCACAGAUGUCCUGAGAUGGAGGGAGAGAUCUGCCAAGACAGGGAAGUGAUUGCCUGACAGAACUAAUAGGUCCUCCUCGGCUUUUAAUAGAAACCAGUUUCUUCUGAUUGCCUGCUCUAUCACAGAAUUCAUAGGCCUCUAUUUGGGUUACUCCCCAUAUGACAUCCCGUUCAGGAUUUACCUUGGCAUCUUUGGGUUAUAUCUUCUGUCCCUGUACCUUGGAUCUUCUUCGCUGGCUGGAGCAUCGUUUAGCUUGAUUGUGGAUGUUCCCAUCUUUCUAUGGAUCAAGAAAGAUUGAAUUUACUUGCUGGAUAAUUGUGGGAUGGAAUCUCGAAGUGGACCAUCUGUCCACAUAAUGUAUAGGAAAUUUAGGGCCUGAUACCUCCAUCGAUUGAUUGGAAUAAACAGAGAUCCUUAUUUGGGACUGAUGACCAUGAUAUGGACUUGAGAGAUACUGACACGAUUGGAUGACAGUACUUCCUUCAUCCUAUUUUUGUGAUCACCUCCAAAUGAUCACGUUUGAUAGCUAUGGAGCCUCACAGAUGUACUGCGGACUAUAUAUUCUUUCUUACAAGUAUGGAAUCACUAAAAACCCACAAAAAAAAUAUGGUACUAUUGACCUUAUUAAGAGAACGAGAUGAAAUAAUACAUUUGACAAUCUAUUUGUACUAAUGGACUUUCAUGCCUGCACACUUGGAAUAAUAAUAUUGUGUAUAAUCUUAAUUGUGUUCCUUUGUAUCUGUAUACUCUUUCCAACAUACAGUAAAAUAUU